UACAGAGGUCUCAAGCGUUGUUCGGAUUCAUUGGGCGUAAAGGGCUCGUAGGCGGUUUGUCGCGUCGGGAGUGAAAACUCAGGGCUUAACCCUGAGCUUGCAGUGGGUACGGGCAGACUAGAGUGCGGUAGGGGAGACUGGAAUUCCUGGUGUAGCGGUGAAAUGCGCAGAUAUCAGGAGGAACACCGGUGGCGAAGGCGGGUCUCUGGGCCGUAACUGACGCUGAGGAGCGAAAGCAUGGGGAGCGAACAGG
rnacentral:rRNA from 1 species